rnacentral:tRNA from 1 species
GCAUCGGUGGUUUUAGUGGUAGAAUGCUCGCCUGCCACGCGGGCAGCCCGGGUUCAAUUCCCGGCCGAUGCA